CAUGUUUGAAACUAGUUGCAUUGGUGCAACCUUUUGAGAAGUACCGAAAAUUUGAUUCAAAUAAAUUAUGUUUAUGGACAGGGUGACACUUGGAUAAAAUAAGAAGCUUAAAUGACUUGGCUGGCAAGUGACAACUGUAUGAAAAUGGCCAUUCACAGUAAGCGUGGGUUAGCAGAAUGGAUCGACAUGGUGCCUUAUGUGUCAAUAAAAUUACAAUCAAGGGCAAUUUAGAGAUUCAAGGCAGGCUUAUUUAGGUUAGUUUACGUGUCAACAACCCUCCAGCUGUCACUUUCUUCUCACGGAACUCAUCUCUGUGCCGACUGCCUCUCCGAUGUUCAAAAACCCGAACACCACACUCCUUUUCACCUCACACACUCCCAUUCCACCUUCCCACAAAGGCGUUCGAGGUAUUCACAAAAUCCGGCAAAACGGAGAAGCCAGAUUUGUCUCAAAGGGUACCAAAGGAGAUUCCAACCAUUGAUAUUCCUCUCAGGGUAAGUUCACAGUUUUCCAUAUCCUUUAAACUUGGGUACAUCAUUCAUGUUCUUUGAUUGUCGUUUAUCUCGACUCUUUUGUGACAUUUUGAUCAAUGAAUUUUGUUCUGUUAGUUUGUUGGAGAGAUUGCACAAGAAAUGUGUUUUUUAUUUUAACUAUAUAGAAGCGUGGGUUAGGAGAAUGGAUCGACAUGGUGCCUUAUGUGUCAAUAAAAUUACAAUCAAGGGCAAUUUAGAGAUUCAAGGCAGGCUUAUUUAGGUUAGUUUACGUGUCAACAGCCCAAUAAAUUUAUUCAAAAAAAAAAACCCAAUAAAUAACUUUAUAUCAAAUUUACUGCUACGUCUUAUUAAUUAAAAUUAGCUGAAAAUCUCUCUGAAUUAAGUAAGCAUGAAACAUUCUCUGAAUUAAGCAAGCAUGAAACUUCCCUGUCAGGGAACUAUAUUGCUUGACUAUCAUAUUCCUAUAUUGUGAUAUAUUUACACGUUCAUCCUCUUAUGGUAUUGGUUUGAGAGACGCUUUGUGCACUUCUGCCACUGACAUACUAAAGUUGUCCAUUAUCACAUUCAUUCUUUUGUUUCUUUAGUGUGAUCUUCAUCCAAGAUUCUUAAUUUGGUAUUUCCAGGAAGUUUUUGAACCAAAUUAAACAUCAAACUGCUAUCUUUUUGCAAAAUUGCACUGCCUGUUUUGAAAGCUGGAUUCCCGAAGAACAAAGAAUAUAUGCAACGCACAAUACUUUAACAAGCCUCUCCAGGUAUUUUGUCAACCACACAUCACACAGCUACAACGUUAACUGCGAAGAACAAGAUGACUGCAAGCGGCAUAGUCGGCGGUUGUGUUACUAUAUUGCCUUUUGCCGCUACCGACUUCUAUCAAUAUGUAACUAAUGUGUGUAUGCAUAGACAAUGCAAUCAUCAAUGUAUAUAAACAUUAUGCUUCAGUUGUGC